GGAUGGAGAGAUGUAUGUCUAGCGGCGGCGGGUGAGUAACGCGUGAGCAACCUGUCCCUUACAGGGGGAUAACACAGCGAAAGUUGUACUAAUACCGCAUAAGACCACGGUAGGACAUCCGUACAGGGGUCAAAGGAGCGAAGUCCCGGUAAGGGGUGGGCUCGCGUCCGAUUAGAUAGUUGGUGAGGUAACGGCCCACCAAGUCGACGAUCGGUAGCCGACCUGAGAGGGUGAUCGGCCACAUUGGGACUGAGACACGGCCCAAACGUCCUACGGGAGGCAGCAGUGGGGAAUAUUGGGCAAAAUGGGGGGAACCCUGACCCAGCAACGCCGCGUGAGGGAAGAAGGUUUUCGGAUCGUAAACCUCUGUCCUUGGUGAAGAGGAAGAGACGGUAGCCAAGGAGGAAGCCCCGGCUAACUACGUGCCAGCCGCCGC
rnacentral:rRNA from 1 species